rnacentral:rRNA from 1 species
CCUACGUGUGUCAGCAGUGGGGAAUCUUCCGCAAUGGGCGAAAGCCUGACGGAGCAACGCCGCGUGAUCGUAUGAAGGCCUUCGGGUUGUACAGAUCUGAUGACAGGGACGAAUAAGCAAUGCGAAUAGUUUUGUGUAUGACGGUACCUGUUUAGAAAGCUACGGCUAACUACGUGCCAGCAGCCGCGCUAAUACGUAGGGAGCAAGCGUUGUUCGGAAUUACUCGGCGUAAAGUGCGCGUAGGUGGGCGCUUAAGUCAGGUGUGAAAACUCCGGGCUCAACCUGGAGACUGCACUUGAAACUGGGUGUCUUGAGGGCAGCAGAGGAAAGUGGAAUUCCUAGUGUAGCGGUGAAAUGCGUAGAUAUUAGGAGGAACACCAGUGGCGAAGGCGACUUUCUGGACUGUACCUGACGCUGAGGCGCGAAAGCGUGGGUAGCGAACGGGAUUAGAUACCCGUGUAGUC